UUAGUCUCCCCUGCUCCCCCUCCUCUCCCUGACUCUCUUGACCGCAAGUGAAAGCUCAGAGCAAAGCACCUCCAUUGAAGCUUGGCCCGAGCUCGAAUCCGCGCAGCCAAGCUCAGACCCGCCCCAAUUAAGCCUCAAAUCGUGCCUAGGAAGGCCGUGCGAAGCUUUCCCCUCGGUCUCCCGUACGAAUCCUCAACUUCCCCAACCAAAUCGAAUUUUUGCGUGCCAUUCUUUGCCAAUUCCGAUGACCCGAUCCGGUCGCACGUCAAUCCACCGCUGCAGAGCUCCUUCCGGCCAAACAAGCACACGAUAUGGCGGACCCUACGACCCCCGAGCUUCUAGACCCUGCAGUGAACAAGAAGCAUCGCAGCUUCUUAUCCGUCGAGCACCAGACAGAGUUAGGAGUGUUUCGACCAUGAGGCCCUGGAGAGCUGCUCACGAUAGACGAGCGAUGGAAGCAUAGGUUGGCAGCGGUGGGACUCCUACCACUUUGCCGGUUGGUCGAGGCUCGAUCGACGGAGAACCCCGAGGCAGCGGCGCGUCGUUUCUACUUUGACCGGUCACUGAUAGCAGCCCUGGUCAACCGAUGGAGGCCGGAGACACAUACGUUCCAUUUCCCGUGCGGUGAGAUGACCCCGACCUUGCCGGACGCCGCAUACGACCUUGUUCGUGACUUCUUUGGGGGCACAACUGACUACGACGUCCUCUAGCGGUCCCAGGUACCCAGUGCUCCACUUCGGACACAGCCCACGCAGGACGAGGCCUCGACACCGGUGCUCCCUACUAGACCUACCAGACACGUCGGUCCACCCGACCCCCUCACCUACUCCAGGGGUCACGUGAGGGUUAACCAGUGGUAUCGGGACCACGAUGGGGCGCACGGGCGACGGCAACGAGGGAGGUAGCAAUAGAAUUUUAGAUUUUAUGUAACUUAAAUAUGCAUAUUCGCUUCGCGAUGUACUCCUACGUAUUCAUACACGUUUACUCUUAUGGUCCACUUAGCAUGUCGUAACUGCAUUUCGUAUUCCAAAACGAUGGCAUCCUAGUUGCAUUUCUUAAUCUGACA